GAGAGAGAGUAAUCACUAGGGGCCGUGACUGUGACUCUGUUUUCUUUCUUAACUCCUCCUAUAUUUCAACUUUGUCUUCUGAUUUGGAAGAUAUCAUUUGGGUUUCUGUUAGUGUUGUUAUUUGCUCAAGGAAAAGGAAAAAAACGAGGCUCUUCUCUCUGGCUUGAAGCAGCAGCCUUGCAGGGAGGAAAGAUUGAUUUUUUUUUUUUCAUCUACUGUUUUGGGUUCCUUGCAAAUACAUUCCUUGUACCAAAUGCGCAACAUUUAUGUUUAAUAUGGAAGUACUUAAACCAUGGGUCUCUGAUUCGUGUAGAAAGGGAACAACUUUAGCGUCCAAGAGACGGGAAUAGGUGACGUUGUGAUUCUUUAGCGUCUUUCUCGUGAAGAUUUUGAGUUGAAAUUCGAUUUUUAUCUCACUGCUAGUCCUUAUAGUUUUGAUUUUCGAAGCACUUGAAAGCUUCUCCUUCACUCUCUCGGGUUUUCAUAUUUGCGUUUGAGUUGCUCCCUCCCCGGCAAUUUGAAGUGUUUUAUUGGAGCAAAAUCUCUUCUUCAUUCAUUCUUUUUGAAGCCGCUUUGAGUUUGUUCCCUACUUUAUGCUGGAGUCUUGGUUUUUGACUAAAAUUCGAGCUUGUGGCUUGAAAGGUGUGGGUUUUCGGGGUUCUGUUGGUUUUGAGCUUCUGCUUUGUUUUAUAGGAUCUUGGUGCUUGUGGGCUUUUUAAGGUUCUAUGGAGAAAAGAAGAUACAGUCCCCAACUUACCGGCAAAGUCACAGCUCUGCUUUUGCUGAUGAGUUUUUGCUUUCACCUCAUAGUUGUACAAUGCCAAGAAAGUAGUACUAAAAUGAUAAGGCACCUCUCCACGGAUACUCCAUCGCCUUCUAGGCCACCCCAGUUUAGCACUGGACUCAAAAGAAUUCUUCUCAGCAUCGUUUUAGGAGUCUUAACUGGAUUAACAGGAGCCAUUCUUUGCGCUUGUGUGGUCCGUUUCUUGGUCCGCUACAUGAACCGAACCCCAAUCCUCAAGGGACCUGUCAUAUUUUCCCCAAAAAUCGCUCCCAAAACUCUUCAAUCAGCUCUUGCAAGUGAAAACCAGUUGCUAGGUUCCAGCUCAAAUGGGAAGUACUACCGGACGGUUCUAGAUAAUGGCUUCAUAGUUGCUGUCAAAAGGCUGGAACCAUUUGAGAAUGGUUCACCGGAGAGGCAGAGCAAGUCUGUCAAGCGAAGGAUACAGCAGGAGCUGGAAAUGUUAGCUAGCUUGAGACACAGGAAUUUGAUGAGUUUGCGGGCUUAUGUUCGGGAAUCUGAUAGGUUUUCACUGGUCUACGAUUAUGUGCGAACUGGGAGUCUUGAAGAUGCAAUGAAUAGAGUAAGGGAGAAUCAGUUGCAGCUCGGAUGGGAAGUUCGUCUUCGGAUUGCUGUUGGGGUUGUUAAGGGGCUUCGAUAUCUUCACUUUGAAUGCGUCCCUCAGAUUUUGCAUUAUAAUUUGAAACCCACAAAUGUGAUGUUGGAUGCGGAGUUUGAACCGAGGUUGGCAGAUUGUGGGUUGGCUAAGCUCAUGCCUAAUUUGGAUAGAACUACAUCUGGCUACAGUGCUUCCGAGUGCUUCCAGAAUUGCCGGUAUACUGACAAGAGUGACAUCUUCAGCUUUGGGAUGAUAUUGGGUGUUUUAUUAACUGGGAGAGACCCUACAGAUCCAUUCUUUGGGGAAGCAGCCAGUGGAGGUAGUUUAGGUCAUUGGCUUCGGCAUUUACAGCAGGCAGGGGAGGCAAGGGAAGCACUAGACAAGAGUAUUCUUGGGGAAGAAGGCGAGGAAGAUGAGAUGCUCAUGGCAGUGAGAAUUGCUGUUGUUUGUCUAUCAGAUUUGCCAGCAGAUAGGCCUUCAAGUGAUGAGCUUGUCCUAAUGCUAUCCCAACUACACAGCUUUUAACAGGAAUUGUAAGUAUGUAUGCUAAACUGCAGCCUGCAAAUUUUGGAAAUUGGAUUUUUUGCUCAGAGGGCCUUGGUCUGCCAUUCUUAUUCACUUAAAAUUUGUGGCAAAAGGCCAUAUAUAGUGUGGUGCAUGCAGCGGUAGCAUUUUUUGUGUAGUUUCCACCACUUGUUGAAAUUUGUAUGAUUUUCUUUCCUAUCACAGCAUAUGGUGUUGUGUACAUUACUUGUGUCUAAAUCUGUAACUAAAGAAUCAAGACUGAUAUAGUCAAGGGAAUUACUAACCCCAUAGAAGAGACUGUUCUAUCGACGACUACUAUGUGGGACACAUCUCUAUCAUUGUGUUCUCAACUAAUGAUGGUGGGGCUUUGUUGGCUAACUUUAUUUGGACAGAGCUUUUAUAAAAUAGCUGGUCCUUUUUCCUUAAAAAAUCAUGCAUGUCUCUUUUUAUCCACAUGGGCCAUGCUAGGCUUAAAGCAUUGCGGGAACCUUUAAACUUUUUUGCAUCAAAUUAGAACUUUGAUGGAAUAGUAUUUGUUGAUUCCUUCCAGGCAAAAUGUCAAAUGUUUUAAGAUGGUACCUUUUCAUGUUUAGCUUCAUAAAGUGUCUGGUUUCUCAGCAGGUAAUUUAAGAACGCUGAUGAAUAUUUUGGGAUCAUCCAUUUGUUGCAUCCAGGGAAGUUAAUCUAGUGGUUUCAGUUUGUACUAGUGCAAGUUGUGCCUUUGCCUCUGAAUUUUCUGGAGAACAUGCAUUUCAUCCUGGUGUCCAUGCAUAUCGUGUUAUUGACCAAACUAGGCUAUACACUGUUAUAAAAGUUAUUCCAAAACAACCUCCCUGCAAAGUAGGGAUAAGGCUAUAAGCAAUCAUUCCUAGAGCCUACAAGUAUGGAAUGUUUCGUGCACUGGAUCACUCACUUUACUUUUGCGGAGCUGUGGCUGUAGCAUAAUUAGACAUCAAACACAAGGUUAGACGAGAUGUAGAUCACAUAUUGCUCAUCUGCUUUAUUCACCGAUUGGUUGGUCUGGGGGAGGAUUUAAAGUUCAAAGCUAAAGAUAAAAGUAAUACUAGUCCCUAAAUGAAAGAAACCUGCAUAUGGAAUUCAGCAUUAUUUAUUUAUUGAAGACAAAACCCGAUUCCCUGAUUCUAAUUAAUGUGAUAGUGUAGAAGAAUGGAAAGUUGGCAGUAAAUCAAGUUCUGUACUCUAUUGCGUGACAAAUGUACCCCAUGAGGCGUGCAUGUCUGUGAGCAUGAAAAGAAUGGCCAAAAAAGAGAGUAGGAAGCUGGAUACUUUGGUCUGUGAGAGACUCAGAGCUCUUAUUCAUGCUCAAUUGUUCAUGCAGAUUGGGACCAAAAGUACCAUACUCCAAAAGGGUGAGGGAGGAAAAAAGCCUGGGGUUAGCAAACGACUACACUCACCUCUUACAGCUGUGAUUGCUAAUCUUGUCACAAAUGCCUAUUGUUAGCAUAGCAGCAUCAUUCUAUUUUAUCUGUCUAGAAUUGACCCAGCGCAUUCAUUUUGUUGGUUUAGUUUAGAUAUUCUUUGAAUUUAUAACAACACUUUAUCCUUGUAUUAUUUACUCAUUCACAUUCUGCUGAAAACAGAUGAUUAUUCCAUGUUUUCAAAGUUUGUUGCUCAAAUAAAGCAGGGUUCUAG
rnacentral:misc_RNA from 1 species